GACGAACGCUGGCGGCGUGCUUAACACAUGCAAGUCGAGCGAUGAAAGCCUUAUGAACUAUUCGUAGUGAUUGGGGCCGGAUUAGCGGCGGACGGGUGAGUAACGCGUGAGCAACCUACCUUAAACAACGGGAUAGCCUCGGGAAACCGGGAUUAAUACCGUAUGAGACCCCGCCUUCACAUGAAGAAGAGGUUAAAGAUUUAUCGGUUUAAGAUGGGCUCGCGUCUGAUUAGCUAGUUGGUGAGAUAAAAGCCCACCAAGGCAACGAUCAGUAACCGGCUUGAGAGAGUGAACGGUCACAUUGGAACUGAGACACGGUCCAAACUCCUACGGGAGGCAGCAGUGGGGAAUAUUGCACAAUGGGGGAAACCCUGAUGCAGCGACGCCGCGUGAGCGAUGAAGGAAUUCGUUUCGUAAAGCUCUGUCCAAGGGGAAGAUAAUGACAGUACCCUUGGAGGAAGCCCCGGCUAAAUACGUGCCAGCAGCCGCAGUAA
rnacentral:rRNA from 1 species